UACGGAGGAUCCGAGCGUUAUCCGGAUUUAUUGGGUUUAAAGGGUGCGCAGGCGGGAGAUUAAGUCGGCGGUGAAAUUUUGCAGCUCAACUGUAAAAGUGCCUUCGAAACUGGUUUCCUUGAGUGUGGAUGAAGUAGGCGGAAUUUGUGGUGUAGCGGUGAAAUGCAUAGAUAUCACGAGGAACUCCGAUUGCGCAGGCAGCUUACUAAACCAUAACUGACGCUCAGGCACGAAGGCGUGGGGAUCAAACAGGAUUAGAUACCCCCGUACGU
rnacentral:rRNA from 1 species